AACUAACGCUGGCGGCAUGCCUAACACAUGCAAGUCGAACGAGACCUUCGGGUCUAGUGGCGCACGGGUGCGUAACGCGUGGGAACCUGCCUUUAGGUUCGGAAUAACUCAGAGAAAUUUGAGCUAAUACCGGAUAAUGUCUUCGGACCAAAGAUUUAUCGCCUUUAGAUGGGCCCGCGUUGGAUUAGCUAGUUGGUGGGUAAAGGCCUACCAAGGCGACGAUCCAUAGCUGGUCUGAGAGGAUGAUCAGCCACACUGGGACUGAGACACGGCCCAGACUCCUACGGGAGGCAGCAGUGGGGAAUAUUGGACAAUGGGCGAAAGCCUGAUCCAGCAAUGCCGCGUGAGUGAUGAAGGCCUUAGGGUUGUAAAGCUCUUUUUACCCGAGAUGAUAAUGACAGUAUCGGGAGAAUAAGCUCCGGCUAACUCCGUGCCAGCAGCCGCGGU
rnacentral:rRNA from 1 species